rnacentral:rRNA from 1 species
UACGUAGGGACCAAGCGUUGUUCGGAUUUACUGGGCGUAAAGGGCGCGUAGGCGGCAAUUCAAGUCAUCUGUGAAAUCUCCGGGCUUAACUCGGAACGGUCAGAUGAUACUGCUUUGCUAGAGUGCGGAAGGGGCAAUCGGAAUUCUCGGUGUAGCGGUGAAAUGCGUAGAUAUCGAGAGGAACACCAGAGGUGAAGACGGGUUGCUGGGCCGACACUGACGCUGAGGCGCGAAAGCCAGGGGAGCAAACGGG